rnacentral:rRNA from 1 species
GAUUGCCUUAGUAGCGGCGAGUGAAGCGGCAAAAGCUCAAAUUUGAAAUCUGGCGCCUUCGGUGUCCGAGUUGUAAUUUGAAGAUUGUAACCUUGGGGUUGGCUCUUGUCUAUGUUUCUUGGAACAGGACGUCACAGAGGGUGAGAAUCCCGUGCGAUGAGAUGCCCAAUUCUAUGUAAGGGUGCUUUCGAAGAGUCGAGUUGUUUGGGAAUGCAGCUCUAAGUGGGUGGUAAAUUCCAUCUAAAGCUAAAUAUUGGCGAGAGACCGAUAGCGAACAAGUACAGUGAUGGAAAGAUGAAAAGAACUUUGAAAAGAGAGUGAAAAAGUACGUGAAAUUGUUGAAAGGGAAGGGUUUGAGAUCAGACUCGAUAUUUUGUGGAGCCUUGCCUUCGUGGCGGGGUGACCCGCAGCUUAUCGGGCCAGCAUCGGUUUGGGCGGUAGGAUAAUGGCGUAGGAAUGUGACUUUACUUCGGUGAAGUGUUAUAGCCUGCGUUGAUGCUGCCUGCCUAGACCGAGGACUGCGAUUUUAUCAAGGAUGCUGGCAUAAUG